UAUGAAGGAGGGUAUAAUUAGAUUUUAUUUGUUUUUCAUAAUUAAUUUAAGAAGAAUUGGCGGUAUUUGAUUAUAUUCUGAGGAACUUGUUUAUUUAAAUUGAUAUUACACAUUAAAUUUUAUCUACAAUUUGUUUUAUGUAUUGCUGUUUAAUUUAUUAUUUGUUAUUUAUAAUGAAUUAAGUUUAUAGAAUUAGUAAAAAAUUCAAGUCAAAAUGUAGAUUUUUGUAGGGAUAAAUGAGUUACUUUUGUAUUUGAAAUACGAAGCUGUAAAGUUAAUUGAAAAUAUUAAUGAAGAAGGUUGGAUUAGGGAGUAAAAAAGAAAAUAAUUUGUUUUUUUGAUAGUAUUUUAUCAAUAUGU
rnacentral:rRNA from 1 species